GGUUGUCACGCCAGUGGCAUUGCCGGGUAGCUAUGUUCGGAAAAGAUAACCGCUGAAAGCAUCUAAGCGGGAAACUUGCCUCAAGAUGAGAUCUCACUGGGAACUUGAUUCCCCUGAAGGGCCGUCGAAGACUACGACGUUGAUAGGCUGGGUGUGUAAGCGUUGUGAGGCGUUGAGCUAACCAGUACUAAUUGCCCGUGAGGCUUGACCAU
rnacentral:rRNA from 1 species